rnacentral:rRNA from 1 species
UGCAGUCGAACGGAAAGGCCCACCACCUUGGUGGUGGGUACUCGAGUGGCGAACGGGUGAGUAACACGUGGGUGAUCUGCCCCGCACUGUGGGAUAAGCCUGGGAAACUGGGUCUAAUACCACAUACGACCAUGGCGUAGGGGUCAUGGUGGAAAGCCUUGUGCGGUGUGGGAUGAGCCCGCGGCCUAUCAGCUUGUUGGUGGGGUAAUGGCCUACCAAGGCGGCGACGGGUAGCCGGCCUGAGAGGGUGGACGGCCACAUUGGGACUGAAACACGGCCCAAACUCCUACGGGAGGCAGCAGUGGGGAAUAUUGCACAAUGGGCGCAAGCCUGAUGCAGCGACGCCGCGUGGGGGAUGGAAGGCCUUCGGGUUGUAAACUCCUUUCGCCCGGGACGAAGCCCACCUGGUGGGUGACGGUACCGUGGAGAAGAAGCACCGGCUAACUACGUGCCAGCAGCCGCGGUAAUACGUAGGGUGCAAGCGUUGUCCGGAUUUACUGGGCGUAAAGAGCUCGUAAGUGGUGUGUCGCGUCCUCUGUGAAAUUCCGGGGCUUAACUCCGGGCGUGCAGGCGAUACGGGCACGACUAGAGUGCUGUAGGGGUAACUGGAAUUCCUGGUGUAGCGGUGAAAUGCGCAGAUAUCAAGAGGAACACCGAUGGCGAAAGCAGGUUACUGGGCAGUUACUGACGCUGAGGAGCGAAAGCAUGGGGAGCGAACAGGAUUAGAUACCCUGGUAGUCCAUGCUGUAAACGUGGGCGCUAGUGUGGGCUGUGUGUUUGCAGUCUGUGCCGUAGCUAACGCAUUAAGCGCCCCGCCUGGGGAGUACGGCCGCAAGGCUAAAACUCAAAGGAAUUGACCGGGCCGCACAGCGGCGGAGCAUGUGGAUAAUUCGAUGCAACGCGAAGAACCUUACCUGGGUUUGACAUGCACCAAAUCGCGUAAGAUACGUCCUCCCUUGU